UACGUAGGUGGCAAGCGUUGUCCGGAUUUACUGGGCGUAAAGAGCGCGCAGGCGGUCGUUCAAGUCGCGUGUGAAAGCCCCCGGCUCAACUGGGGAGGGUCACGCGAUACUGAUCGACUCGAAGGCAGGAGAGGGUAGUGGAAUUCCCGGUGUAGUGGUGAAAUGCGCAGAUAUCGGGAGGAACACCGGUGGCGAAGGCGGUUCUCUGGGCCUUACCUGACGCUGAGGAGCGAAAGCGUGGGGAGCGAUCCGG
rnacentral:rRNA from 1 species